AUUUAAGGACUGACUGCUACUGGGAAAGGGUCUCUGGUGACAAGACAAACAUUUCAUCUGAAGAAAAUCCUCAGGUGCUGUUUAGCACCGCUAAUAGAGAAGGAUUCAAGACAGUGUCAGACACUGAAUUAUACUGGACUCAGCCCUGGGAAUGUAAACCUGUGGAGUGGAGUAUCGCUGCUGAAAGCCACAGAGCACACAGGCUGCUGGAAUGAAUAACUACACUCAGAGACUGCUAUAUAUGGACAUUUCUAGAAAAAUAGAAUUGUACAGAACCUGAGGAACUACAGUCUGGUUUUGGAGACCAAAUUCAAAGCAACAAGCUACCAAGAAGUUACAAAAACAGCCAUUUGUGAGCAGCUCUGCAGAGAUCUCCUCAUGCUGCAGGAUCCCUGCACUGAGUUAUCUCAGCAUCCAUAACCCUGCAUGGAAGUGACUUCUUACCUACAAAACAUGGUGGUUGGACUACAGGAUUUUAGCGGCCUCUUCCAACCUUAAUGAUUAUAUGAAUCACAGGGGAUCUGCUGAUAGCUGGCUGGUGAACACCUUGCCCAAGAUUUAGUGUCAUAACAGCACAUUCAUUUCACAGUCCUGCCUGUUGCCAAGUCCCUGUACAAGAGCAAGGUUACUGGAAAACACAACCAAAUGGGAUAGGAAUCCUCUCACAGUACUUUGCACUGGAGGGUAAUGAACCAAACCCUUGAUUUCUUCCUCAUACCAAUCUAAACAGAAGAGCUGUUUAUACUAAAGUUUUGUUUAUGAAGAGUCACUGAAUUAGACACUCCUAAGUGAGUCACUGGUUGAUGAAACAAGAGGCACUCAUUGCAGGCAGCAUCAAGUUCAUUCAGAUCUAGCUUACAACUUUUCCUUUUUUCCCAGUCCAAGGGUAGCAUCAGUUUUAAUAGCUCCAGCCACUCCUCAAGAUCAGCCCUCCUUGACUCACCAAUUACCCAGCUAGUAAAAAAAAGAAAAACAUAGGACAGCAGAUGAAUACUGCUCAUGCUCUUAGCCAAAGCACAGGACAGUGGGCUGGGCAGGGCCAGACUGCCCAAGAUGACACUUAGUAUGACAGUUGCCUUCCAACUACACAGAGCAUGAAAGAAUUUCCUUUCCUGCCGCUGGUAACACAGCUGGGAGACCAUCAGAAAUGGCUUCUCCUUCUUCCAGAAAAAUACGAUGGUGCAGUUCAGUGGCUCAGUCAUCCUGGUGCUUCUAAGUUCCACAUUUCAGAUUUUUUAAUGAUUUUCUGGUACCAUAGUUACCUCUUAUAUUGCUGCUGUAUAGUUAAAGACCCAGAAUGAACCAGUAUUGUAGAAUCGUAGAAUCAUUAAGGUUGAAAAGAUCAAUAAGAUCAUCUAGACCAACC
rnacentral:lncRNA from 1 species